GACGAACGCUGGCGGCGUGCUUAACACAUGCAAGUCGAACGGAAAGGCCCUGCUUUUGUGGGGUGCUCGAGUGGCGAACGGGUGAGUAACACGUGAGUAACCUGCCCUUGACUUUGGGAUAACUUCAGGAAACUGGGGCUAAUACCGGAUAGGAGCUCCUGCUGCAUGUUGGGGGUUGGAAAGUUUCGGCGGUUGGGGAUGGACUCGCGGCUUAUCAGCUUGUUGGUGGGGUAGUGGCUUACCAAGGCUUUGACGGGUAGCCGGCCUGAGAGGGUGACCGGCCACAUUGGGACUGAGAUACGGCCCAGACUCCUACGGGAGGCAGAAGUGGGGAAUAUUGCACAAUGGGCGGAAGCCUGAUGCAGCAACGCCGCGUGCGGGAUGACGGCCUUCGGGUUGUAAACCGCUUUCGCCUGUGACGAAGCGUGAGUGACGGUAAUGGGUAAAGAAGCACCAGCUAACUACGUG
rnacentral:rRNA from 1 species